GACGAACGCUGGCGGCGUGCUUUACACAUGCAAGUCGAACGGAGAGGCCCUGCUUUUGUGGGGUGCUCGAGUGGCGAACGGGUGAGUAACACGUGAGUAACCUGCCCUUGACUUUGGGAUAACUUCAGGAAACUGGGGCUAAUACCGGAUAGGAGCUCCUGCUGCAUGGUGGGGGUUGGAAAGUUUCGGCGGUUGGGGAUGGACUCGCGGCUUAUCAGCUUGUUGGUGGGGUAGUGGCUUACCAAGGCUUUGACGGGUAGCCGGCCUGAGAGGGUGACCGGCCACAUUGGGACUGAGAUACGGCCCAGACUCCUACGGGAGGCAGCAGUGGGGAAUAUUGCACAAUGGGCGGAAGCCUGAUGCAGCAACGCCGCGUGCGGGAUGACGGCCUUCGGGUUGUAAACCGCUUUCGCCUGUGACGAAGCGUGAGUGACGGUAAUGGGUAAAGAAGCACCGGCUAACUACGUG
rnacentral:rRNA from 1 species